UACGAAGGGUGCAAACGUUGCUCGGAAUUAUUGGGCGUAAAGCGCACGUAGGCGGCUUGGCAAGUCGGAUGUGAAAUCCCUCGGCUCAACCAAGGAAGUGCAUCCGAAACUGCUGAGCUUGAGUACUUAAGAGGAUCGCGGAAUUCCCGGUGUAGAGGUGAAAUUCGUAGAUAUCGGGAGGAACACCAGUGGCGAAGGCGGUUGCCUGGAGCUUUGCUGACGCUGAUGCGCGAAAGCGUGGGGAGCGAUCCGG
rnacentral:rRNA from 1 species